rnacentral:rRNA from 1 species
AUUGAACGCUGGCGGAAUGCUUUACACAUGCAAGUCGAACGGCAGCACGGGGGCAGCCCUGGUGGCGAGUGGCGAACGGGUGAGUAAUACAUCGGAACGUGCCCGGUCGUGGGGGAUAACGUAGCGAAAGUUACGCUAAUACCGCAUACGAUCUGAGGAUGAAAGCGGGGGACCUUCGGGCCUCGCGCGAUCGGGGCGGCCGAUGUCAGAUUAGGUAGUUGGUGGGGUAAAGGCCUACCAAGCCGACGAUCUGUAGCUGGUCUGAGAGGACGACCAGCCACACUGGGACUGAGACACGGCCCAGACUCCUACGGGAGGCAGCAGUGGGGAAUUUUGGACAAUGGGCGCAAGCCUGAUCCAGCCAUUCCGCGUGCAGGACGAAGGCCUUCGGGUUGUAAACUGCUUUUGUACGGAACGAAAAGGCUCUGGCUAAUACCUGGGGCUCAUGACGGUACCGUAAGAAUAAGCACCGGCUAACUACGUG